ensembl:lncRNA
UGAUAGAUAGAAAGAUAGGGUGCCAAUACUUGUAGAGUUGAUAGACAGAUAGAUAGACAGGGUGCCAAUACUUAUAGAAUAGAUAGAUAGGGUGCCAAUACUUGUAGAGUUGAUAGACACACAGAUAGAUAGAUAGGGUGCCAAUACUUGUAGAGUUGAUAGAUAGGGUGCUAAUACUUGUAGAGUUGAUAGACACACAGAUAGAUAGGGUGCCAAUACUUGUAGAGUUGAUAGACAGAUAGAUCGAUAGGGUGCCAAUACUUGUAGAGUUGAUAGACAGAUAGAUCGAUAGGGUGCCAAUACUUGUAGAGUUGAUAGACAGAUAGAUCGAUAGGGUGCCAAUACUUGUAGAGUUGAUAGAUAGAUAGGGUGCCAAUACUUGUAGAGUUGAUAGACAGAUAGAUAGGGUGCCAAUACUUAUAGAGUUGAUAGAUAGGGUGCCAAUACUUGUAGAGUUGAUAGACACACAGAUAGAUAGGGUGCUGAUACUUGUAGAGUUGAUAGACAGAUAGAUAGGGUGCCAAUACCUGUAGAGUUGAUAGAUAGAUAGAUAGCG